AUUCCCUUUACUCCUACCGGAGGCAGCAGUAGGGAAUAUUCCACAAUGAGCGAAAGCUUGAUGGAGCGACACAGCGUGCACGAUGAAGGUCUUCGGAUUGUAAAGUGCUGUUAUAAGGGAAGAACAUUUGCAAUAGGAAAUGAUUGCAGACUGACGGUACCUUGUCAGAAAGCGAUGGCUAACUAUGUGCCAGCAGCCGCGGUAAUACAUAGGUCGCAAGCGUUAUCCGGAAUUAUUGGGCGUAAAGCGUUCGUAGGCUGUUUGUUAAGUCUGGAGUUAAAUCCCGGGGCUCAACCCCGGCUCGCUUUGGAUACUAGCAAACUAGAGUUAGAUAGAGGUAAGCGGAAUUCCAUGUGAAGCGGUGAAAUGCGUAGAUAUAUGGAAGAACACCAAAGGCGAAGGCAGCUUACUGGGUCUAUACUGACGCUGAGGGACGAAAGCGUGGGGAGCAAACAGGAUUAGAUACCCUGGUAGUCCACGCCGUAAACGAUGAUCAUUAGUCGGUGGAGAAUCACUGACGCAGCUAACGCAUUAAAUGAUCCGCCUGAGUAGUAUGCUCGCAAGAGUGAAACUUAAAGGAAUUGACGGGGACCCGCACAAGCGGUGGAGCAUGUGGUUUAAUUUGAAGAUACACGGAAAACCUUACCCACUCUUGACAUCCUUCGCAAAGCUAUAGAGAUAUUAGGGGGAGGUUAACAGA
rnacentral:rRNA from 1 species